GGGAAUUGCAUUCGAUACUGGUUGGCUAGAGUAUGGGAGAGGAUGGUAGAAUUCCAGGUGUAGCGGUGAAAUGCGUAGAGAUCUGGAGGAAUACCGAUGGCGAAGGCAGCCAUCUGGCCUAAUACUGACGCUGAGGUACGAAAGCAUGGGGAGCAAACAGGAUUAGAUACCCUGGUAGUCCAUGCCGUAAACGAUGUCUACUAGCCGUUGGGGCCCUUGAGGCUUUAGUGGCGCAGCUAACGCGAUAAGUAGACCGCCUGGGGAGUACGGUCGCAAGACUAAAACUCAAAUGAAUUGACGGGGGCCCGCACAAGCGGUGGAGCAUGUGGUUUAAUUCGAUGCAACGCGAAGAACCUUACCUGGCCUUGACAUACAGAGAACUUUCCAGAGAUGGAUUGGUGCCUUCGGGAACUCUGAUACAGGUGCUGCAUGGCUGUCGUCAGCUCGUGUCGUGAGAUGUUGGGUUAAGUCCCGCAACGAGCGCAACCCUUUUCCUUAUUUGCCAGCACUUCGGGUGGGAACUUUAA
rnacentral:rRNA from 1 species